rnacentral:rRNA from 1 species
UGAAUACGAGAUGCUACGGCGUCGAAGCAGUCUAUGUCAUACUUCCAAGAAAAGCUUGCACUGUCAUAAACAAAUAAUGCCUGUACCAUAACCGACACAGGUGGGUAGGUAGAGUAUACUAAGGGGCGCGAGAUAACUCUCUCUAAGGAACUCGGCAAAAUGACUCCGUAACUUCGGGAGAAGGAGUGCCUUAUUUAUAAGGUUGCAAUAACAAGAUCCAAGCAACUGUUUACCAAAAACACAGGUCUCCGCUAAGUCGUAAGACGAUGUAUGGGGGCUGACGCCUGCCCAGUGCCAGAAGGUUAAAGAAGUUGGUUAGCAUCCGCGAAGCUGAUAACUGAAGCCCUGGUGAACGGCGGCCGUAACAAUAACGGUCCUAAGGUAGCGAAAUUCCUUGUCGGGUAAGUUCCGACCCGCACGAAAGGCGUAAUGAUUUGGAUACUGUCUCGAAGAGGGGCUCGGUGAAAUAGACUUGUCUGUGAAGAUGCGGACUACCUGCACCAGGACAGAAAGACCCUAUGAAGCUUUACUGUAACCUGAAAUUGAAAUCGGACUUUACUUGCGCAGUAUAGGUGGGAGGCGUUGAGAAUAUUCUUGCGGGAUUAUUGGAGCCAUCAGUGAGAUACCACUCUUGUAAUGUUAGAUUUCUAACUUUGUAUCAUUAUCUGGUCAAAGAACAGUUUCAGGCGGGCAGUUUGACUGGGGCGGUCGCCUCCUAAACGGUAACGGAGGCGCACAAAGGUUUCCUCUGAACGGGUAGAAAUCGUAUCUAGAGUGUAAAGGCAUAAGGAAGCUUGACUGUGAGACCUACAAGUCGAGCAGGGACGAAAGUCGGUCUUAGUGAUCUGACGGUGCUGAGUGGAAAGGCCGUCACUCAACGGAUAAAAGUUACUCUAAGGAUAACAGGCUGAUCUCCCCCAAGAGUUCACAUCGACGGGGAGGUUUGGCACCUCGAUGUCGGCUCAUCGCAUCCUGGGGCGGUAGUACGUCCCAAGGGUUGGGCUGUUCGCCCAUGAAAGCGGUACGCGAGCUGGGUUCAGAACGUCGUGAGACAGUUCGGUCCAUAUCCGGUGUAGGCGUUAGAAUAUUGAGAGGAGCCUUCUUUAGUACGAGAGGACCGAGAAGGACAUACCUCUGGUGUACCAGUUAUCGUGCUAACGGUAAACGCUGGGUAGCUAUGUGUGGAGUGGAUAACCGCUGAAAGCAUCUAAGUGGGAAGCCCACCUCAAGAUAAGUAUUCUCA